ACUUUCCUGAAACAUAAUUAAAAUCAUUAUGUAUGAUAAAUUUUGCUAGAAGCUUUUUAAUAGUAAUUUUUUAAAUGUUUUUUUUUUUUACUGUACAUUAGGUUUAAACAACGAUACUACUUGUACAAAAUGUUUUUAUACUUAAAUAUGUAAUAAUUUUAUGGUAAUAUUUAUUGUGAAGUUAACACAUCAAAGAUACUCUAUUGUAAGAAUUAGUGUCACAACUUAGUCGUGGUGUAGAAUAAGUCAGCAUUCUUAAUAUUUGUAAAAUGUAAUAUUUUAACGAUCGAAUUUUGCGACAACUACAUUAACUAUUUUUUAAGUGUUUGAUGAUUAUUGCUUUAUGUUCUAGAAAUUAUGACUUAAGGUACGGUCUGCCAGGCGCGACGUGUCGCGGCGACUUAUCAUUAAUAUCUGUUUUUAAAGAAAUUGUAUAAUCUGGUCUGCAAGACGCGACAAGUCGCGACAUAUCAAUUUUUGGUCGCCGCGACCGACGACUUACUGCUGCAAGAGCAGUAUACGCGCGACACAUCUCAGCGACACUGUGUCAAAAUUAGUAUUUUCAUCGUCUGAUGGCGAAAUAUUAAUCCAAGAAGUUGAAAAUAACCCUAUAUUAUAUAAUAUAGCUGCUACGGAUUAUAAAAAUAUUAUAAUUAAGGACACAAUUUGGAAAGAAAUAUCGACAAAAAUUGGAAAAUCUAUAGAUGAAACGAAAAAGCGCUGGAAAAAUAUUAGAGAUUCGUGCUCGCGAAAUAAAAGGAAACUGGGAACUGGAUCGGCAGCAUCAAACAAAAAAAAGUGGUCAUUGGCAACACAUCUCACUUUUUUGGACCAAGUUGAAUGUGAACGAGACUCGGCUUGUAACGUAACUAUAAAUCAUAGUAGGACGUUCC